rnacentral:lncRNA from 1 species
AACUAUUUAAAGUAAGAUCUACUCUUGAUCUUAAUUACCAAGAAUCUUAUCAUCACUUUUCGAAAGAUAUUUAUUUUUAGCUAUUCAUUUUUUUUUAUUCACUUGAUGCACAGGAGAACAGAAUCGAAAAAACAUAAAAUUUAAUUUUUAGAGUUGGGCUGGAAUACUAUUGAUAGUAUUUAGCCUCUUUUGCUAUCAAGUUUUUAACCUUUAGAUGAAAAAUUCUAGGGUUAGGACUAUAUUAGUCCCUUAGGGUUGAGUGGUCCCCACUGGGUUAUAAUAUUUAAUACAGUGGUUAGAAAUGAUCAAAAGAACUGAUCCAAAGGCUUAAAACUUGAUAGGAAAAAGAAACAAAUACUAUUAAUAGUAUUCUAGCCUAACUCUAAUUUCUAUAUGUUUUUAAGUCGAAUAGAUUACGUGUCAAUAGUGAUGAUUGUCAAUUUCACAACAAUAUCUUACACUUUUUAAACAAUAACUAGAGACGCUUCAAAGCGUCGGCGAAAAUAACCCCGAUGCUUGUAAAAGCGUCGAGUAAAAAAUCAUUAAGUAAAUAUGUCAGGAUAAAUAUACUGACGCUUUAAUAUAGCGUCAGAUAACUUUUAUCAGUAUUUGGAAAAAAAAUAUUUAUUGGCGACACUUAAUCACAGUGUCCACACAUGCCAAAUAUUGAAGACAUUAGAAUAGAGUAUCGUUUAAAAAGUAUCGUCUAAAACAUAUUUUGUUGUAGUGUUUCGAGGCUCCAUUAUUGAAAAUAAAUUAAUAACAAAAAAGCAUGUUUGCUAUCGAUGAUAUUCUCGCUCAACUUUUAUUAUAUAGGUUUUAGGGGAGUGAGGUACACAAGAUACAUGAAUGCACAUGUUGGCUGCGAUGGCGGAGGAUGAGGAGAGGGAAGGGCUCUUCGUCUAGAAUUUUAAUGGAUUAAGUGAGGGAAAAAGAGGAGAUGAUAAUUGAUUUUUCUUUUUUUUUUUUUGUAAUUGGGCCGAAUGGGCUGGAUGGGAUGGGUUGAGUAGAGUAACUUUUUAUUUUUGAUUGAAUUGAGCUUUAUAUUUAUGCAUUAGUAGAUUUUUUAAAAAGUUUUUGUAUAAAUGGGACACUUACACAAAAAUAUCCCAAAUAUGUGUCGCUAUAACCUAAUUCUGUUGUAGUGACAUGGUGGUGCAACCAAUAGAUUUUCUAAUUCACCAAACUAAUUAAUUAG